GCCUCCCCGCGCAUCGGCUGCUGCCGCGCACAAAUCCGCCGCGCCCUCGGUCCCGCAAAUCCGCCGUGCCAGCUCCGCCCGCUCGAUUCCCCUCCUAGCGCCCGCAUUCCCCGCCGCCGUCCUCGCGGCCGCAGCGCCCCUGGACCCCACGCCAGCAACGCCCGCAGUCCCCGCCGUGGAUCUCGCCCGAAGGCGCCGCCAUGGACGCCCUAGAUCUACCACCUCCUCCUCUCCCCAUCACUGCGCCGCCUGCCCCCGCCGCACACCUACAGCGCGCCCCUUCCCCCACCGUGGAUCUCGCCCAUACGCCAGCGGAUCUCGCACUCCUUCCUUCGACGGCGCGGUGGCGAGGAGGUCAGCGACGGCGGCGUCGAGUCGAGGUCGGGCACGAAGGCGCGGAGGCCGUGGGAGCGGUCGUGGCCUACGCACGCACGACGCCGCUCCCCCAGUUCAAACCGAGGUCAGCGACGACGCACGCACGCACCACCCCUUCCCCCUUCGUCUUCCAUUCCCAGCUGGAGGUGCACGCUGCCGGGCAGAGCGUCUUGCUGGAGGUGCGAUAGCCAUGUCUGGACCUCCGUCGCCGCCAUAGAAGUGCCUUGUCAUUGAUGAAGCCGAUCGCAUACUUGAGCAAAACUUUGAGGCAGACUGUUCUUUUUUCUGCUACACAGACUCUAGAUGUUGAAAAAAUUGCUAAACUGUCAUUUGAGAAAAAUGAAGUAAAAAAAGCCUGAUUAUGUUGGAGUUGAUGAUGAUAAGUCAAAGGCUACUGUUGAAGGCCUGCAGCAGGGUUAUUGUGUCAUUUCUAGCGAUAAAAGGUUCUUGGUUCUGUAUGCUUUCCUAAGAAAGAGAAGAUAAUGGUGUUCUUCUCAUCAUCUUUUGCAAGGCAGGAAAGGGCAUCUUAUUGUGUACUAAUGUGGCUGCCCGUGGACUUGAUACUCCUGACGUGAAGGAAGGCAGUGUUCAUGUCUCAUCCAGUUCAAAUGAAGUGACAGGAACCAUUCCAGAGACGAAUGGAGGCGAUCAUCAUAUACCUGGAAGCUCUUUUCAUGUUUAGUGAAGGUCUAUGACAUGUCUGAUAGUCAAAUGAAGCUAAAUGAUUUUAUUUCAAGCCUUGUUCUUGAGAGGAUGGUCAAGAUUAAUUUGAGUAGGGUGACUUCAUAAUGGACGACGAGGAAGAAGUGGAAGGAGAGGAAGAGGAACAAAAGAGUGAUGACCAGAAGCGAAGAAACAAAACUAAAAAGAAAAGGAAGAGGUACCUCCCUUUGUUCGUACUAGGAAUAAAUGCCAAUGUACUGUGUACACCUAUCCUGAAAUGAGGAUGACUAUAUGUUGCUUUAGGAUAAUAACAUCACUGCCAUCACUCUCCCAAAGUCGCUAUGUUUUUCUGUCAUAGUUUGUUGUCCUGACCAAAUUUUUUAAUUUGUUGUCUAUUUCUCUUAGGUUGUUCUUUCAAUAAGCUGUAUCUUUCUCUCGUAUGCAAUGUAAAUUUCAGGUAUUUGUGAAAUAUGAGUGUUGUUUUGGUCUCAAAAUAAAUCCACAAAAGAUUUUAGCAUCUGUAAGCACUGUUGCACAUUAUCCAAUUAUAUCAGGGUGGUCUAGAACUGUUUUGUGUUGUUUAUUUUUAGUUGAGGUGUGUAUCUUUCCCCACCAUUGUAUGUUACAAUUUUCUAACUACAUCUGUUAUGUUUGGGUGCUCUUGCAUUCUCGCAAAGUGCUAUAGAGGAGCAACGGUACCAGGACGCGUCAAGGUUGACAAAGCUAUCUGGGACCACUUUUGUAAUUGCCAACUCUUCACUGAUUAUUUUCCUAUAUGUUGCUCCAGAAUAAAUGGUAAGUGUUGAUCGGUAAUUCUUGUGAACGUAGGUAAUACUGAAUCUCUGACUGUUUGUGACCUAUAUCCCCUGAAAACCUGAAUCUCAGAUUGCUUUAGCUUAGCGCCUACAUGGCAGUCCUCUUGUCGUGAACAUUUUGAUCUGUGUUCCGUAUAUGCUUGUAGGAUCAUAGUGCGGUGGUCAUGGGAUUGGGAUCUGCUCCGUAUUUGCAGGGUGAAGCCUUCGUGUCUCCUCGAGGGAAAGUCACUGACCUUUCUUGGGACGUGGACCACUGACGGCCCCCGUCAUCCCCCAUGACGGUGAUCCUAGGGUGAAGCCUUCGUGUUUCCUCGAGGGAAAUCUACCAGUGCGGGAUUGAUUUAGUCAGCACCAUUGGACACAGGGUUUAGUUCCAUUGCCUGGACCCAUCAAUGAAUCAUGGUGCCAAGGUCUUGAUGGUUCGACUUCAAGGUACUGAUAUUCUCCAGGACUAUUGUUAGCAUCCCUUGUGGUCCAUCUGCAUUAGCAGUGAAGAAAGUCGCAUGGGGACUUGCUUGAUAUGUUGUUAUUGCUCAGACAUGGCUGAGAAGGAGGAAACAAAGGGCCGCUGCCCUGCCUGCCACACACGUUAUGACAAGGAUAUGAUCGUCAAGAUGGCCGCCACUUGUGACAGGACAGUGGCAGAUAAAAAUGCGGAGAAGAAGCAAAAGGCCCAAAGGGUUAAGCCAAAGGCAGCACCAACAGCAACAACAACAUCAACCGUAGAAUCUAAGAAGCAUCUUGCUACUAUCAGGGUUAUCCAGAGAAAUCUGGUGUACAUAAUUGGGCUACCUGCGCAUUUAUGCAAUGAGAGCGUACUUGAGCGUAGGGAGUACUUUGGUCAUUAUGGGAAAGUUUUGAAGGUUUUAGUUUCCCGUCCGACUGGGCCUCCCUCUCAGCAGGCAUCAGCAAACAGCAGUAUUAGUGUGUAUGUCUCUCUGAAUUAUACGGUGUACAUGCAUGAUCUGUUCAUACUUCAUAUGAAUUUAGAUUUAUACUUUCAGUACUGGUCAAUUAGCCUGAUGGAAUAUCAAAUAACUAUCUACUGAUUCUAUGCAAUUGCAUGUUUCAAGUUUCUAAUGCUGCCUUGUAAUACUGGAACAUUGGUAUUAUAAGAAAGUAAAUUCAAACUUCAAUAUUGUUAUGUGGUUUUCUAUUGAACCUGGUGAAAAUGUGAUAAUUAUGUCCAUAUCCUUGCAAGCAGUUCAGUCAUUUAAGUUUAAUCUAGGCUACUUAGCAGUGUGAUUUUCCUGUAGCCUCUUGAUUUGCAUAGCCGCACAGCCCGUGCUUGAAAGUAACAUUUUUAUCCUCAUUGCUGACAUUAGGAUAUGUAUUGUAUUAUUGGUGUGAAAUUCAAAGAAUCAGAUAGAUGCAAGAUAUCUGUUUGUGGGAUAGGAUCAGAACCCAAUCCUGUGUGUGCAGAUAUAGAUAAAAAUCAUCUUUUAAUGAAAUGUCUAUUUUUUUCUCGGUUUGAGUACUUUAUAUUGUUCUCCUGGGAUGUGUUUUUUUUCUUUAUGGGUGAUUUCUCUUGGAAAUCCUAGGAUAGUGUUUCGAUGUAUUCUGAAACUUUGUUGUGCCAGAAACAUGCAUUGUUUUAUCAUUAACCAGAAUUGAGUUAGGGAUUAUCAUUAAGGCAUUAACCAAAAUGGAGUUAGGAUGUCUUUUUUUGUAGUGUAGAAAACGUUGUGUAUACUGAAAUGUGCAUGCUUGCAACAUGUCUAAUAUAGAUUAUAUUUGAGUGGUAUCUUUGUUGAAGAACAUGUGAAAUUAGAGUUCUGGUGGUCUUCUAGAACACACACUGCUCCUCAUCUUUACUUUCUCUACAUAAUUCUUCAAUAUGUUGGUAUGUUCCCGUGACUCCUUGGUUUAGCUAUCCUUAUACAUGCAUGUUGUUACAUAAAUCAAUUAGUUUUUCCCUGAAGGACAGGCCUGGUGCAGUGGUGAGAGGCCUUUCCACUGAGCCAAAGGGCCUGGGUUUGACGCAGCCUCUGCGCAAAAAUGUAGGGUUAAGGCUUGCCUUGGUUAUUACUUCCCCAGACCCGACUCAUGCGGGAGCCGUCAGCAUUGGGAGAUAUACGUGGAGCGUCAGAAUUAUAUGUGCAUCUACAAGAACAGUUACAACAAUUCUCCAUCAGGUUGAUGUUCAUACAUCUCAGAUAUAAAUGUGGGGGAGACGGUGCCUCAUCAAUGAUGAGUAGGUUGAUUCUCAUCUAGCGGCACCAUUGCUCACUACAACUGGUUUGCUUGAGCAACUUAAUGUCACUCUCAAGAGGACCCUCCUUUCGACCGACACCCUGAAGCACCACACAAGCUUUAGAAAGUCGGAAUUGUACUUCGUAUACAUAAAUUACAUGAUAUUAUAUGUUCAUGUAAUUCUAUGUUGAUUCUUUAGAAAUAAUAUAUAUGAUAUUGUAAUGUGUGUUCGACAUCAAUUUAUUUUAUUUGAGUUCGCCGUGCGUACGUUUGGGGUUGUUUCUCCCUCGCUUCUUCCUGGCGGCGAAAGAUAGAGAAGGGCGAGUGGCCGCGCGGAACAUCGACAACCGAGAAACCCCCUCGUCAGCAACUCCAUCUGCUAUUCUCCCUGACGGUGUUCCUGGUAGCAAGAUACCUGAUGCUUUUGCCUUCAUUCUUCUCACUAGGUGAGUGCCCGGGACUUAUGUAUUAUAUGUCUCCGUUGCAACGCACGGGCAUAUACCUAGUGAAAAACAUAGGAAACAUGAAUUUUUUCCUCCAUUUGAAUGGGGUCUUAGUAUUAAUGGAGGCACAGAACUAGGUCGCCAUAUAAGAUGAUUUGGAACUCUUUAUAGGCCAGCAGUGAUGCGAAUUGCAAGUGAUUUGAAUAAUUUAAUCUUUCUUUGUUGUCAAAACUGAAAUAAAGACGAGGCAUUCGUCACUCGUCAGCGUGAGACACACAAAACCGUGACGUCCGAGUGCUCGCUCUAGCCUCUGGCAACGGCGGGUGGCGGCAUUGCGGCAAUGGCCGCGCUGCGGUUAUCAAGAGCACCGGCCACGGCCGGCCUGGCCGCCGCGGGCGUUCCGCACCGCCUCGCGACCCCAGAGCAUCCGCUGCCGGUGCGGGUUCUACCCAACAGGGCCCACCUCAACGCGCUGCUCACGUCCUACGGCCGCCGCGGCCGCAUCCAGGACGCCCAGCAGCUGUUCGACCGGAUGCCCCGCCGCGACGUCAUCUCCUGGACGGCCCUCCUCACCGCCUACGCCGAAGGCGGCGACUUCGCCUCCGCGCGCCUCGUCUUCGACGACAUGCCCCGCCGCAACGCCGUCUCCUGGAACGCGCUGCUCUCCCUCUACCUCGGCGCGGGGCGGCCCGCGGCUGCGCACGCGCUGUUCUGCAAGACGCCCGCCAAGAACGCCGUGUCCUACGGCGUCAUCAUAACGGGCCUCGCCAGGGCGGGCAUGCUGCGGGAGGCUCAGGCGGUUUAUGGGGAGAUGCCACCGCGGUUGAGGGACCCCGUGGGGUCCAACGCGAUGAUUUUAGGGUACCUCAGGGCCGGGGAGAUUGACAUGGCGCUGAGGGUGUUCGAUACAAUGGCUGCAAGGGACGUCAUUUCUUGGAGUUCUAUGGUUGAUGGGCUAUGUAAGUAUGGGACUGUGUCCGAGGCCAGGAGGCUGUUUGAGGCAAUGCCGGAGCGGAACGUGGUGUCCUGGACCUCGAUGGUCCGAGGAUAUGUGAAAUGCGGGAUGUACAGAGAAGGUCUCUUGCUGUUCCUGGACAUGAGAAGGGAAGGUGUUCAGGUUAAUGCGAUUACACUCUCUGUUGUACUAGAUGGUUGUGCUCAGGCCAGUCUUGUCGGCGAAGGGAUCCAGGUUCACUGCUUGAUGACGAGAAUGGGCUUUGUAACUGAUAUAUUUUUGGAUGGUUCACUGAUAAUAAUGUAUUCUAGAUUUGGCUGGAUGGUUGAUGCUAGAAGGGUUUUUGCUUUCAUGAAGCAGAAAGACAUAGUAUCUUGGAACUCAUUGAUCACUGGUUAUGUUCAGAAUAACAUGAUUGAAGAUGCUCAUGUGCUGUUCAAGUUGAUGCCAGAGAGGGAUGCUAUUUCUUGGACGUCAGUGGUGGUUGGGUUUGCUAAUAGAGGUUGGAUGAGAGAGUCUGUUGAACUCUUUGAGCAAAUGCCUGUAAAAGACGAUAUUGCCUGGACUGCAGUUAUUUCUAGCUUUAUUGCAAAUGGAAACCAUGUGAGUGUGGUGCGUUGGUUUUGUCAGAUGUCACAGGAAGGAUGCAGACCUAAUACCGCUGCUUUUAGUUGUUUGCUGAGUGCUUUGGCUAGCCUGGCUAUGCUGAAUCAGGGAUUGCAAGCUCAUGCUUAUGCAGUCAACAUGGGAUGGAUAUUUGACUCAGCUGUCCAUGCUUCUUUGGUGACAAUGUAUGCAAAAUGUGGUAGGUUGGCUGAGGCUCAUCGUGUUUUCUCAUGCAUUAGAAAUCCAAGCCUUGUUGCCAUUAAUUCUAUGAUUUCAGCAUUUGCACAACAUGGCUUGGCUGAAGAUGCACUCAAACUUUUUAACAGAAUGCAAUAUGAUGGCCAAAGGCCUAAUCAUGUGACAUUCUUGGGAAUACUGACUGCAUGUGCUCGAGCUGGUUUGGUUCAACAAGGCUAUAACUACUUUGAAUCUAUGAGAUCAGUCUAUGGCAUUCAACCAAACCCUGACCACUACACAUGUAUGGUUAAUCUUUUAGGCCAUGCAGGCUUCCUUGAUGAAGCAUUGGAAAUGAUUAAUUCGAUGCCCCAGAAAGAUUAUCCUGAUGCAUGGGCAGCUUUGCUUAGCUCUAGUAGCCUCCAUUCUAAUCUUGAUUUAGCAAAACUAGCAGCACAGAGGCUUCUUGAGAUAGAUCCUUAUGACACAACAGCUUACAGGGUCCUGACAAACAUGUUCUCCUCAGCAGGGUUGAAGGGAGAUGAAGAGAUGGUAAAAGUUGCACAAUUGUCCAACAUGGCUAGUAAGAGGCCUGGGUAUAGCCUCAUCAUACAGGAUAAGACUACAGAAAAUAACUAGCCCAAAAUGAGCACUUCCAUUUACAGAUAACUGGCAUGUCAUAACUCAUAAGACAGGGAUAUUGGGUUCACAGAAAACAAUUCUAGCGCCAAGAUGAGAUAUCAAUUUGUUGAUGUAUGCUAGUGCAGAGUCAGUUUUAGUACUUAAGAACUGAGAAUGAGGAAUAUCUGAUAAGGUGACUAGUGAUUUGAAGAAUAAAGAGCCAGGUGGUCUGGAUCAAAUUUUGAGACUGGAGAGUUGAUGACACUUCUGCAAAUAAUUCAUCUGCUACUGUUGUUGAACAACAAGAAAAUCAUUGGUUGCUGCAUGCUUUCAAGAAUAUUUUGCUGCGUGAUCUAUCUAUUCUCCUCAUCAAUUGAUAGAGAAGAGUCGCUGAGAGAGUGUACUGGAGAAGGCUGAACAGCAUGAGGCUAAGACUUCCACCGGGACCUCCAACAUGGCCAAUUUUCGGCAAUCUUCUCCAGUUGAGCCCUCUUCCCCACAAAGACUUUGCCCAAUUUUGCACCAAAUAUGGCCCUCUCGUCUAUCUUCGCCUGGGAACCAUCGAUGCCAUCACCACUGAUGACCCCGAAGUGAUCCGUGAAAUACUCAUCCGGCAAGAUGAGGUCUUUGCUUCGCGGCCUCGGACACUGGCUGCCGUCCAUCUCGCCUAUGGGUGUGGUGAUGUGGCUCUAGCUCCACUGGGACCCAACUGGAAAAGGAUGAGGAGAGUUUGCAUGGAGCACUUGCUGACGACCAGGCGGCUCGAGUCUUUCGCUGCUCACCGAGCUCAGGAGGCCGAGCACCUCUGCCAGUUUGUGUGGGCUAAAUCUCAGUCCGGGAAGCCCGUGAACCUCAGAGAGGUUCUCGGUGCCUUCUCGAUGAACAACGUCACGCGGAUGCUGCUGGGGAAGCAGUACUUUGGGAUCCAGUCGGCAGGCCCCGGCGAGGCAAUGGAGUUCAUGCACAUCACCCACGAGCUGUUCUUCCUGCUGGGCCUGAUCUAUCUCGGGGACUACUUGCCGGCUUGGAGGUGGGUCGACCCGUACGGGUGUGAGAAGAGGAUGAGGGAGGUGGAGAAGAAGGUGGACGACUUCCACCAGAAGAUCAUUGAUGAGCACAGGAGAGCUAGGGAGGCCAGGAAGAGUCGUUCCUCCGUUGAGGAAGAUGGCGGCAACGGCAAAGAUGAGAUGGACUUCGUCGAUGUGCUGUUAUCUUUGCCUGGUGAGAACGGGAAGGAGCACAUGGACGACAUGGAGAUCAAAGCGUUGAUGCAGGU